CAAACGGCUCUUUUCAGAGCCACCUACAGAUUCAGACAAAGCUAG
rfam:Dipodomys ordii contig_70648, whole genome shotgun sequence.